AUUGAACGCUGGCGGCAGGCCUAACACAUGCAAGUCGAGCGGAUGAAGGGAGCUUGCUCCUGGAUUCAGCGGCGGACGGGUGAGUAAUGCCUAGGAAUCUGCCUGGUAGUGGGGGAUAACGUCCGGAAACGGGCGCUAAUACCGCAUACGUCCUGAGGGAGAAAGUGGGGGAUCUUCGGACCUCACGCUAUCAGAUGACCCUAGGUCGGGUUAGCUAGUUGGUGGGGUAAAGGCCUACCAAGGCGACGAUCCGUAACUGGUCUGAGAGGAUGAUCAGUCACACUGGAACUGAGACACGGUCCAGACUCCUACGGGAGGCAGCAGUGGGGAAUAUUGGACAAUGGGCGAAAGCCUGAUCCAGCCAUGCCGCGUGUGUGAAGAAGGUCUUCGGAUUGUAAAGCACUUUAAGUUGGGAGGAAGGGCAGUAAGUUAAUACCUUGCUGUUUUGACGUUACCAACAGAAUAAGCACCGGCUAACUUCGUG
rnacentral:rRNA from 1 species